rnacentral:rRNA from 1 species
UACGUAGGGUGCAAGCGUUGUCCGGAAUUAUUGGGCGUAAAGAGCUCGUAGGCGGUUUGUCACGUCGGCUGUGAAACCCUGGGGCUCAACCCCGGGCCUGCAGCCGAUACGGGCUGACUAGAAUUCGGUAGGGGAGUCUGGAAUUCCUGGUGUAGCGGUGAAAUGCGCAGAUAUCAGGAGGAACACCGGUGGCGAAGGCGGGACUCUGGGCCGAUAUUGACGCUGAGGAGCGAAAGCGUGGGGAGCAAACAGG